rnacentral:rRNA from 1 species
UUAUUAUUUACAUUAAUAAUUUUAUUGUGCAAUUCAAUAUAAUUUGAUUUAUUUAGAUAUUUAUUAAAAUUUUUUAUUUAACUUUUUUUAAUAAAAAUAAUUUAAUUUUUAGUAUAUUUUUUAGAAAUAAAAUUAAUAAUUUUAAGUACUGUAUAGGAAUAUAUAUUAAAUUUUUAUAAGAACUAUUUUAUUAGGUACCUUUUGUAUCAGGGUUAAUUAAAUUUUAUUAAUUUAUUAAUUAUUUUCCCGAAGUAAAAAGAUUUAUAAUUAUAUUUUUUAUUUUAUGACAAAACAAUAUAUAAUAUAAUUAUAGUUGUUAUAUGCUAUUCAUUUUUUAUAUAUCUGGUUUUUUAAUAAUUUAAUUUAAUUAAUAAUUAAAAGUUUAUUUAUUUAAUUUUAUUAUUUAUUAUCUUUUAAUUAAAUCAACCUAAGGAUAAGCUAAGGUUGAUUUCUAUAAUUAUUAAUAAUUAAAUUUUUGUAGGAUUAAUAUUUUCCAUCCUUUAUUUAUUUAUAUAAAAUUUUUAUUUAAUUUUUAUUUUUUAUUUAUUUAGAUAUUUAUUAAAAUUUUUUAUUUAAUAAUGAUUAAAUUUAAUAAUGAUUAAAUUAGUAUAAUUUUAAAUAAAAAUAUAAUAACUCGGCAAAUAUUAUUUUUACCUGUUUAACAAAAACAUGUCUUUUUGUUUUUAAUUUAAAGUCAGACCUGCCCAAUGAUUUAUUUUAAUGGCCGCAGUAUACUAACUGUGCAAAGGUAGCAUAAUCAUUUGUUAUUUAAUUGAUAACUGGAAUGAAUGGUUUUAUAAAAAAUAUUCUUUUUUUAUUUUUAAUUUAAAAAUUUUAUUUUAAGGUCAAAAAGCUUUAAUUUACUUAUUAGACGAUAAGACC